GUGUGUGUGUGUGUGUGUGUGUGUGUGUGUGUGUGUGUGUGUGUGUUGAGCUCCAAGAUAUAGUUUCCUUCAAUCUGGGCAGAAUUUUAAAGCUUAGCUAUAUUUUGCCUUUGCCUUUCAUUCCUUCAUUCCCACUUUUUCUUCCCCCAUUCCAUAUUAUGGACAUUGUUGUAUUUCAGUGUGCAGAACAGAAGAGGAUAAAUCACUUUGAUGGCAGUCGCGUCCUGCAUCCCAAAAAUCUGAAGGGGCACAAAGUACUGUGGGCUGUGGGGGAGUGCAGGGAGGAGCUAUGCCCACACAUCUGAGCGCUGGCCCCUUGCAGGCUUAUCUGCCUCAAGGAUAUUACUCUACUUUAGAUGUCACCCUGGGUCUGAGGUAAUACUGAUCCAUAUCACCCUCUUCUCCUUUUUUUACCCAGGCAAAAACAUAACUGUUUCAACUUUGACCUGGACAUGUAUUAUUAUGUGUAGAUUUACUUUCUUCAGUGUAUUGAUUCAAUGUGAGAAGCCAUUAGCAGCAGGGACCACUGAGUUAGGCUACAUGUAUGUCCUCUUUAAAUCAGUCCCAGAAACAUUUGUUAUCUUCAAAUCUGUUUGAGCCAAAUAUCACCUCUGUCAAAUUGAAAUGUAGUCCUCCGGGCUGUUCUCAUAUUAAAGUCAUGUAUCACAGUUUCCAGUUGCACAGUUAUUAUACUUUGUCAGUGCUAAACAUGUAAUUGUUCUUCAGAGCAGAUUGCUCCUGAACAUUUCCUGUCAAUACUAAUAAGAGAUAAAUUGUUCCAUUUCAUAUUUUAUUCAUGCCCCGGUUUGUAGAACAUUAUUCUAAAUGUUUUUGUUUUUACUGUGGUUAAUUAUACCCUGUCUUGAGUUCAUGUCAACAACAUCUAAAGGUAAUAAUGAGGAAUAGAAGCCAUUUGUGAGUCAUUACACACUGCAGUUUGCUCGCCUCUUAUUUUUGUGUAGAGUAAUUAUUGUAUUUUCAAAUGGAUUACAUCCACAUAUUUAGUUCCCACUUUCUCUAUUAUCUCUUGGUUAAAGCCACUGAAGCGGGUCUAGCUCCAUCUGUUGUGGUUUGUCAUAGUUACUGUCUGUAUGGGAUGUGUUACUUAAAAGGGUCUACUUCCUCUUUCUUAUGUUUUACACACCCUCCUUUACAAUGGACAGUACAUCUUCAUAAUGUGGCCUGUGUGCUGUGUUUUAUUUCUACUGCUGUUCAAGUUGAAUACUACAUAUAUAUCUUUGCUGGCAUGAAUUUAUGAGUGAAAUAAAAAAAUACCUUUUAGGUUGUGAGCAUAUUGUAGUUUCAUUUUAAUGCUGACUCCACUGAAGCAGCCACUCAUUGACAUUUUCAAUACUUUUUUAUUUUUAUUUUUUACAAAUGGCUGAAUGAGGCUUUAAAUGCAGCUGAUAUUUGAAUCUUGGUGCCAUACGUAAACAGACGUGGCCCAGAUUCCUUUGGUUUUUUGAUAUGACAGUAAGGUAUAAAGAUUUUAUAAGUUACUAUCCUAAGAUUAUGCAAGCCAAUUUUACUCCCAUUGACAAUCUCUUUAAACCUGAGGAAAAUGGCCUUUUGCUGACAAAUACAUUUUUAAGUGGUUGUAUUAAGGUGUGGGGUUACAGUUUUGCUUUGAAAUAAGAACAGCACCAUAGCUAUAACACAUUUCAUUCGGUGUGACAGUAUAAAAUAUAUCAGGAAGCUCUAUGCUUGGCUGGGCUGUGUUGGUUGCCAGGUGCCAGUAUGUCAUCAUUUCCUCUCAGGGCCAGUCUUAAUUAGACAACAGAAACACUGCAGGCUGCUGCCAAUGGGGACUGAGUUCCCUCCAAACCCACAGAACAUUGUUCAUACUCUUCCCAGCACCAUACAUUCCUAUGGGGUCUGUAUGAGUGAGCAUGUGUGUAUUUGGAGGAGGCGUGGAUGGGGAGAUGUCACAUUUCAGUGUGUGUGUGUGUUGAGUGUGUGUUCCCUGUCUACAGUAUGUGUGCACACGUAGAUGUGUGAUGGGCAGUGUCAUUGUGUCAGUGUCCUUGUUAUUGUUUCUGUGUGUGUAUGUACGUGCAUGUGUGUGUCACACUGUAUGUGUUUGAGUGCGAUGUGUCCAGUGUACUCCACUGCAGAUGUAAACAGAAGUGACAUGCCUAUGGUAUAUUUACGGGUCCUUGCCCUUUGUCUCCCCAACUCUCUCUAAACUACCUUAUUCUCUACCUCUGAUUUUAGCAACAGCUCACUUUUGACAUAUGCGCUCCUUGUUCACAGACACAUUCCAUGCAGAAUGAAACUAUUUAAUGCAUAGCCACUUCUGUAUGUUCUCCCAGUUUGGGUUUUUAGGUCUUCAGAGUGCUGCAUGGCAGAAGUUUUUAGGUCAGUGCUCUUCUACUUUCUGCACUGCUCAGACUCUGGGGAUUCAGAAAUCACCGAUGGGAGCUGUGCUGCUGUCAAGCAAAGCCUCUUUCAGGUUGUCACAGGCUGCAAAGGAGUCCGAAGUGGGUUUGCACAACCUCGACCAGAUGGAUGGGCCAUUUUUACAUUAUAGACAUCAAAAAGUGGAGCAAAAGAUCCAGGAGAUGGUCACGACAGGGGUCAUCAGGCUAUCCAACGGCCCUUGGAUGGCCCCUGUAGUCCUUGUCAAGAAGAAGGACAGCUCAUGUUGCUCCUAUGUGGACUUCAGGCAGCUGAACUAUGUGACUAGGAAGAAUUCCUAUCCCCUCCCGCUCCCUCCAUCUCCUGAAAGCCAGGCUGAAGACUGCCUUCACAAUUGCAUUAGGUCUUUGUCUGUUCACUUUGAUUCCCUUUGGACUCUGCAACACUCUGUGCCUACCUUUGAGCACCUUAUGGAGCAAGUUAUGACCACAAUCCCCUGCAACAAGUGUGUUGUCUACCUGGAUGACCUCCUUGUGCACUCACCGGACUUCAAGGGUCCAUUCCCUUGAAGGGGCAAGCCACUUUGGGCACACAAAUACCAUCCACCGCCUCAGAGAGAAUUCUUACUGGGCUGGAGUGGUAUGUGUAUGCCUGCGAAACCUGUAUUGGCCACAAAGGCCCAACUGGACACUCCCAUGCCCCAUUACAGCAAUACCAGGUGUGGGUCCCCAUCAAGCGGGUCCUUUCCCCAAGACUGAGGCGGGCAACCGGUUCGUAUUGUAGCCAUGGACUGCAUUACCGUGGCCAGAGGCCAAUGUAGUUCCCGACCAGUCCACCACAACUACUGCCAACAAGCUGGUGAAGGGGAUGUUUUGCCGGUUUGGAGUACUGGAAGAUGUCCACAGUGAUCAGACGAGAAAUGUUGACAAUAAGGUGUUAAAGACAGUCUGUAUGGAACUGGUGGUGCGCAGGACGAGAACCAGCCCCCUGUUCUUUAAAGCAAAAGGCUGGUCGAACGGUCUAAUCAGACUUUGGCGAUACAUCUGGCUACGCUCACCUCAAACCACCAGAAGGACUGGGACAAACAUCUGUCAUUGGUCUAUUGGGCUUACCGGUCAGCAGUACAAGAGUCCACUGGCUGCACCCCAGCGGCGCUGAUGUUAGGCAGAUAACUAAACACUACAGUGGACUUUUCCUUUGGAAUACCACCUCAACCUUACAGUAAGCAGUGCUUGGAUACAGGCCAUAACUUCGUACGGUGUCGCUUGAUGGAAUGCAUGGUCAAACUUACGCUGUGAGGUCCAGGGACUUGGCCUCUCACUAUGACUCAUCGGAAGGUAUCAAUCAAUCACAUUUAUUUCAUAAAGCCCUUUAUACAUAAGCAUUGCUAUACAUAUACCCAGCCUAAAACCCCCAAAAGGAAGCAAUGCAGAUGUAGAAGGACAGUGUUAGGUGUAGAAGGACAGUGUUAGGUGUAGAAGCAGAGUGUUAGGUGUAGAAGGACAGUGUUAGGUGUAGAAGAACAGUGUUAGGUGUAGAAGAACAGUGUUAGGUGUAGAAGAACAGUGUUAGGUGUAGAAGGACAGUGUUUGGUGUAGAAGCAGAGUGUUAGGUGUAGAAGGACAGUGUUAGGUGUGGAAGCAGAGUGUUAGGUGUAGAAGGACAGUGUUAGGUGUAGAAGAACAGUGUUAGGUGUAGAAUGACAGUGUUAGGUGUAGAAGGACAGUGUUAGGUGUAGAAGGACAGUGUUAAGUGUAGAAGGACAGUGUUAGGUGUAGAAGAACAGUGUUAGGUGUAGAAGGACAGUGUUAGGUGUAGAAGGACAGUGUUAAGUGUAGAAGGACAGUGUUAAGUGUAGAAGAACAGUGUUAGGUGUAGAAGAACAGUGUUAGGUGUAGAAGGUGCCAGUUUUAGGUGUAGAAGGACAGUGUUAAGUGUAGAAGAACAGUGUUAGGUGUAGAAGAACAGUGUUAGGUGUAGAAGAAUAGUGUUAGGUGUAGAAGGACAGUGUUAGGUGUAGAAGCAGAGUGUUAGGUGUAGAAGGACAGUGUUAAGUGUAGAAGAACAGUGUUAGGUGUAGAAGGACAUUGUUAGGUGUAGAAGGACAGUGUUAGGUGUAGAAGGACAGUGUUAGGUGUAGAAGAACAGUGUUAGGUGUAGAAGGGGACAGUGUUAGGUGUAGGACAGUGUUAAGUGUAGAAGAACAGUGUUAUGUGUAGAAGAACAGUGUUAUGUGUAGAAGAACAGUGUUAGGUGUAGAAGAACAGUGUUAGGUUUAGAAGGACAGUGUUAGGUGUAGAAGCAGAGUGUUAGGUAUAGAAGGACAGUGUUAGGUGUAGAAGGACAGUGUUAGGUGUAGAAGAACAGUGUUAGGUGUAGAAGGGGACAGUGUUAGGUGUAGAAGAACAGUGUUAGGUGAAGAAGGACAGUGUUAGGUGUAGAAGAACAGUGUUAGGUGUAGAAGAACAGUGUUAGGUGUAGAAGGACAGUGUUAGGUGAAGAAGCAGUGUUAGGUAAGGAGACAUGUGAAAUGAGUUCACAUUGAACAAAAAUCUAUACUCUAUCUAGCCUACCAGGUCUGACAACAUCCUCCCUGUCUCCAUGACAACAUGUUUGUAGAAAAUAAAACAAAUAUCCCACUGGGCACAGACGUCAGUUCAACGUCUAGUUUUGAUUUACAUUUGGUUGAGUUGUCAAAUACAGUGAAUUCAACGUGAAAUCAACAAAUCAUUUUACCAUGUCAUUUGAUUUAGGUUAAAAGUUUGGUGAAAGAAAGAUGUAAUUCCCUUACGUUGAUUACUUUUUUCAAAUCCAAUCAGUUUACCAUGUUGAUUAAACGUCAUCACAUUGAAUUUGUUGGUUGAAAUGACGUGGAAACAACGUUGAUUCAACUAGUUUUUGCUCAGUCGGAUGAUGCCCAGAGAGAGACUCACAUGGUGUUGGUGCAGGGCUGACUCUGCUCAUUUUUCUGUCACAUCAAUAAAAUGCUUUUUAGCAAACUGACAGCCACAAGUACAUACAGUACUGUACUGAAGCUUUCCACAGACACACAACAGCUGUUCGAAAAAAAUACUAUGGUCUUAUGAAAAUAAUCCUUGAUCUUAAUUGCUCUUCAAUACCAGAAUACAGUCAAGUAAUAUAGUGUCGGCAUGUCUUCAUAUAGAUACUGUAUAUGAUGGAUUGAAAGUAAGUUACAUUUGAGAAAAGUGAGGAUAUUAUGCAAACAAAAGCUCUAGGACCUAUAAAGGUAGAGUAAAUUCAAUUAUUUCACAGAUAUUUUCAGUUGUCCAUUGGCACUGACCAGUGGCUAGCCCCAGCCCUAUGGAGUGAAGCCAGGCAUAGUAAUCAUUCUUCAGUAAUCAGAGCUCACUGGACUGUCUCCUGGACCUUGCCUGAUAGACUAGAUCAAUGUCCUGUCAGAUCCUACCCUUCAAUAUUCCACGUAACUGGGCUCUCCACAGCCCAGGCCCCACAACACAGGAAUGACCUGCCAUCUCACAAUAUCCAGUCUCCACUAGUAUUUACCUGCCGUUUCAUAGGUGGCAAUUGAAAUCAAUUCAACAUAAUUGAUAAUUACCUGGUGUCACAUCGGUAUCUAGAGGUGUUUUUAUAGGAUGAGACUAUAUUUACUUCAAAGACAAGUCAUUGUAGGCCUCGCAAAUCUUGUAUCCAUAUAUUUAUGUAUGGCUCUGGUAUGGCUCUGGUAUUGGGCUUCAAAAUGUGGGUUUUCAAUAUGUUUCCAUAACUACUGUAUGUACAAUUAGACUGGUGCAGACAAAACACAUGAUUUUCACACAAAGUCAUUAACUUGCAGCAAUUUUAACUUGCAACCUUUCAAGCUUAUACUAAAGGUGGCAAUACAUUUACUGAGGCUUAUAAUUGUUUGUCAAUAAAGAAUGAUACCAACAUAGCUCCAGUAGUUUGUGGAGGUAUAUUUUCAACUCUAAUUUGUUGAAUUAGCAUUCAUGAUUAUAUAUAGAUAUAGGACCUUAAUUUGAUAACCCUG
ensembl:lncRNA